rnacentral:snRNA from 1 species
AUCGCUUCUCGCUCUUUUAGCUAAGGUCAAGUGUAGCAUCUGUUCUCAUUAGUUUAAUAACUGAUACAUCUUUAUCCGAGGACAAUAUAUUACAUGGAUUUUUGGAUCAGGGAGAUGAAAUAGGAGCUUGUUCCAGCCACUCCAUGCAUCAUCCACCUGGUAUUGCAAAUCUGAGGUAGAGAAGAAAAACCC